CCCGUUGAACUUAAGCAUAUCACUAAGCGGAGGAAAAGAAACUAACAAGGAUUUCCCUAGUAACUGCGAGUGAACAGGGAUUAGCCGAACACCAAAGCCUGCGGUUAUUUGAUCGUGGGGCAAUGUAGUGUUUAGGGUGGCUUCAGGCAUUAUUGCUCUGUCCCAAGUCCAGCAAUGAGUACGACUUCCCAUUCUGGCCCAAAGAGGGUGAAAGGCCAGAGAACAAAUGUGACAGUUCUGCUUUGAGCUACCCUUGGAGUUGGGUUGUUUGUGAAUGCAGCCCAAAGUGGGUGGUAAACUCCAUCCAAGGCUAAAUACUUACACGAGUCCGAUAGCAAACAAGUAUUGUGAGGGAAAGUUUAAAAGUACUUUGAAGAGAGAGUAAACAGUAUCACAGCCCUCGCGCUUUCUGCUCACAAUGGGAUGAAAUAGUUAUCCAAUGCUUCUUGAUUUUCAAUAGUUGUCUAAUUAAGGUCAGUUUUUAAUGUAAAUUAUAAAAAAAGUUAAUUAUUUAAAGUAAAUUUUAAAAAAUCAGUCUACGUUUGAUGUGUUUCCUCACUAAUAUCUGUAAAUUCAUACAUAAUUCUGAAGUUUUAAUGAUAAUUCACUAUAGGUGGAAUAGAUCAAGGUAGUUAUGAAGCAGUA
rnacentral:ncRNA from 1 species